rnacentral:rRNA from 1 species
GACGAACGCUGGCGGCGUGCUUAACACAUGCAAGUCGAACGGAAAGGCCCGGCUUUUGUGGGGUGCUCGAGUGGCGAACGGGGGAGUAACACGUGAGUAACCUGCCCUUGACUUUGGGAUAACUUCAGGAAACUGGGGCUAAUACCGGAUAGGAGCUCCUGCAGCACGGGGGGGGAUGGAAAGUGUCGGCGGUGGGGGAUCGACUCGCGGCUUAUCCGCUUGAUUGGGGGGUAGUGGCUGACCAAGGCUUUGACGGGUAGCCCGCCUGUGAGGGUGACGGGCCACACUGGGACUGAGGUACGGCCGCGACUGGUACGGGAGGGAGCAGUGGGGAAUACUGCCGGAUGGGCGGAAGCCGGGUGCAGCAGCGCCGCGUGCCGGAUGACGGCCUUCGGGUUGUAAACCAAUUGUGCCUGUGACGAAGCGCGAGUGACGGUAAUGGGUACAGAAGCCCCGGCUAACUACGUG